rnacentral:rRNA from 1 species
CCUACGGGAGGCAGCAGUGGGGAUUAUUGGCCAAUGGGGGAAAUCCUGAUCCAGCCCUGCCGGGGGUGUGAAGAAGGUUUUCGGUUUGUAAAGCACUUUAAGUUGGGAGGAAGGGCAGUAAGUUAAUACCUUGCCGUUUUGACGUUACCAACAGAAUAAGCCCCGGCUAACUUCGUGCCAGCAGCCGCGGUAAUACGAAGGGGGCAAGCGUUAUUCGGAAUUACUGGGCGUAAAGCGCGCGUAGGUGGUUCAGCAAGUUGGAUGUGAAAGCCCCGGGCUCAACCUGGGAAUUGCAUUCAAAACUGGUGAGCUAGAGUGCGGUAGAGGGAGGUGGAAUUUCCUGUGUAGCGGUGAAAUGCGUAGAUAUAGGAAGGAACACCAGUGGCGAAGGCGACCACCUGGACUGAUACUGACACUGAGG